AUCCUGUUGCCGCACGUCGUUCUUGCUGGUGGGACAUUGGGCGCGCGACAAGUGGUGCCGAGACCCGGAAACCAACAUCGCCGGUGCCGAGGGGACCCUUCAGUAUGCUGAAGAGGAUUCAGAACUGCGAGAAGAAUCAAGAAAAUCCAAUUUGGGUACCUGAGCGUUUGACUCGAAGAUUGCCUUCUGCUCUUCCUGAAGAUGAGACUACGAACCCUACUAUUACUACUGGGAAUGGUAAUACAGGUUAAUUCGCUCACCCUGUGGGCUAUUGCCAGAUCCUGGCCAGUACCCAUGCCAGUUCAUAGCAAUUCUACUGUUUUGAGAAUAAGACUGACAAACAUAAUCUCUGGCCUUGGUUUCUAUGGGUGCUGUCCAAUGAGCAAGGGUCAUAUAUAUCCCUGACCCCCUUUGCUAGGUUGAUGGGAGAGAACUUCGUGCUGUAUAAUGUUUCAGCUAUCAGAAAAAGGUGAUACCAGGUUGAUCAAUAUUCAAUAUAAUAACCUCUUGGUAAAUAAUACUGCCACUAGUACUUCAGUAUGUGCUAGAUCACCUUUUUUCUGAUAAGCACUAAUGUAAGCAGUGGUGCUUUAAAUUGUAAUAUCUCUGAUGUAGUCUGCUAUUUAGCUGAAUGCUGGGAUGGCACUAAUGACACCGCAGUGAUGGUUAAGAUUCGCUCCUUUGUGCCAAUCCCAGUGGAGGCAAACCCAGAUAGCUUUCCUAUUCUUAAUUUGCUGAGAGCCAAAAGAGAUUUUGGAAUUAUGGCAGCCAUAAUUUCAGCCAUUGUGCUGCCUGCUGCCGCAGCUACCACAGCUGCAAUCGCUAUGACCAAUCAAAUACAGAUGGCUGAGACUGUCGAUCAGAUUGUAGAAAGAACUGCAGUGGCGCUAGAGAUACAAGAAGGAUUUAAUACCCAUUUGGCAUCUGGCCUUCUAUUAGCCAAUCAAAGGAUAGAUUUAGUUCAAGAACAAAUUGAAGCACUGUAUCAUAUGAUGUGUCUUGUGUUUCUUCCCUUCGAGGUUUAUGCAUUAUUCUUUUGCGAGCUAACUUUUCUCAGAAUUUUCAACAGAACAAAGAAAUCUCGAAUUAUCUGAAAGGAAACUGGUCCAUGAAAGCAGAGCAACUAUCAAGACAAUUGCUGAUGCAGAUUGCUGUCCUCAACAGCACUAGGCUGGACCCCAUCACAGUUGAAGACUUUACCUCAUGGAUUACCAAUGCUUUCUCCCUUGUUAAGGAGUGGGCGGGCAUGUUUGUCCCGGGGAGCUAUUGUCCUCCUGGGAUGCGGAGUAGGUCUCUGGCUUAUUGGCCGUUUAAAAAGAGAACAUGCCAGACACAAAGUGGUUGUUUACCAGGCUAUGACCACCAUUAAAAAGGGUGCUUCUGGGGGCUGGGGAUUUAGCUCAGUGGUAGAGCGCUUACCUAGGAAGCGCAAGGCCCUGGGUUCGGUCCCCAGCUCCGAAAAAAAGAACCAAAAAAAAAAAAAAAGGGUGCUUCUCCCAACAUAUGGCUGGCCUCUUUGAAAGAUCAAGAGUUCGCCCUAGAUCAUUUUUGUCACAGUCAUGUGGAGUCAUUGUAUCCAGGGACGGGCAACUUUCCUCGAACUCAGACCAACCUAAGACACGGGGCCCGGUGGCGAUAGGGUAACUCUAUGACGGGUAAGGCCGAGUUUGGAUGAGAACGACCUAAGACAGGAGCAAUGACAAGAUUGACGUGACACCCAGAUCUAGACCAGUCAUUUUAUUAAACAAAAAAGGGGGAGAUGUAGAGAGCGGCGCGGCGAAACAAAGAUGGCGCCGACAUCCAGCCUUGUCUGGAUAUAAACGACUUACUGCGCAUGUGCAGGCUUGUCCCCUUGCUAGGGCUCCCUCUAGUGGUGAACAGCGGUACUGCACAUGUGCGGUUUAUGCACCAGGUGUCAGUUGACCGUUAAUAUGCUAAUGAGGUGAUUCAUUCUCCGCCAAUCCCUGGAGGACAAGUAGUGGGGUGAUCCAAGCCCCACCAAUCCCUGAGAGAUAAUUAGCAUACUGUUGUCUAUAUAAGCCGAGCGAUUUUGCUGCUCGGAGUCCCUGUUCAGAAGAGCUGUAACACUAAGAAGAGCUGUAACACUGAGAAGAGCUGUAACACUAAGAAGAGCUGUAACACUGAGAAGAGCUGUAACACUAAGAAGAGCUGUAACACUGAGAAGAGCUGUAACACUGAGAAGAGCUGUAACACUGAGAAGAGCUGUAACACUAAGAAGAGCUGUAACACAGUAAAGGCUUGCUCGCAGAAGAAUCCUGUUGCCGCACGUCGUUCUUGCUGGCGGGACAUUGGGCGCGCGACAGAAGAGGUUUUGGAAUUCCACAGACUGAAAUAAAUGUGGACUGUGGAGGCCUGGUUCAUUAGGUUUCAGAGAGGAACAAGCACUCUCUCAGGUACCAGGUUAGAGCUACAUUCUAGCAAAGAAUCUAGCUAUGUUCUGCCUGUGUCCUGAGACUGAAGGGAGGCCAAACUUAAUGGACUGAUGUCUUCAGUGAAAGGCAUUUCAAGACAGGACAGCAUCCAGGAUGAAGCAUGGUUAUUGAUUGCCAAUCUUACCUGGGUGAAGAAGAGUUAAAAACUAUUGUAGAAUAACAGAAGAUGCAGUUUUUCUAAGAAAGAGACUGACAAAUUUUUUUAUUAGAUAUAUUUCUUUACUUACAUUUUGAAUGUUAUUCCCUUUCCCAGUUUCCUGUCCAUAAGUCCCCAUUCCCUCCCCCUCCACCAUAUGGGUAUUCCCCCCAUCCAUCUCCCUUAACCGCCCCCCUCCAACAUUCCCCUGCACUGGGGGUCCAACCUUGGCAGGACCAAGGACUUCCCCUCCACUGGUGCCCCAACAAGGCUAUUCUCUGCUACCGAUGAAGUUGGAGCCCUGGGUCAGUCCAUGUAUAGUCUUUUGGUAGUGGUUUAGGGACUGGUGCAAAUUUAAAGUUGCAGUCAAGGGAUGUGCCGAAAAGAAACUGUGAUUUUUUUUUUAACAGAAACCUCCUGCUCUGUAGAGGCAUAGGAAAGGUGCCUGGAGGGCAGGAGUCCACCCAACAAAGGCUCCAACUUGUGAAAUUGCCAACUUACUUGAAAGAAAAGAGCCUGAACUCAGAACACCAAAGGGCUCUUACUCUUAGAAAACAACUGCCUAGCAAGUGUUUCCCCAGGGUCAGCACCCAAGAGCUGCUACAGCUGUGGUCCAAGUCAGCCACAGUAUAUCUCGAGCUGGCAGUAGAAUUUGACAGUGUUGUCUGCAUGGUUCUGGCUCCAUAAGCAUGAAAAAUGCUACAUUAGUGUGGCCCCAUGGUUCCAGAAAUCUUAUGAGGUCAAGCUACACAGUGACAAGGCAAAAGAGACUGCAGGAGUCCCUGAGAGUGAAGGUAAAGUCUAAGAUGGCAAGAGGGUUCCAGGAUGUUUGAGAGACCAGACGCAUGGCAUCCACCAAAGAAAUCUGCAUACAUGGAACAGAGCCAGUUCAACAAGAAUCAUGUGUUAUGGAGUGGGCAGAGCUGGGGGUGAGGAAGCAGGGGCUACCUAAGCCCUUUGGAGAUUAUAUGAUGUCAUCUAUAGUAAAAAGUGGAGCUAGAUGAUUUGGUAUUUCUUCUGCCUUUCCAUCCUGCCUCGGUCCGAUCUUUUUGCUCUACUCCUAUUCUCUUGUUUAGAACAGGAAUGUUUACUUUGGCCAUUUUAUGUUGGAAGAAUGUAGUCUGUCCUUUGAUUUCAUAGGGACUCACACAUAAGGGUUCUCAGUUUGCUUUGGUUCUCAGAAGAGACUUUGGGCAUCUAAAUAGUGUCAGUCUUGCUCAUUAAAGGGACUUCAGAAGUUGGGAUGAAUACAUUUCCCAACGAGAUGGCAAUGAACUCAUGGGGGCUAUAGGUAAGAUGUUAUAGUUUGAAUGUGAAAGGUCUCUACAUGCUCGAGUUUGAACACUUGGUCCCAGGCUGGUGGUGCUAUUGGAGUGGAGAAGCUUUUAGGAGUGGGUUCAUGCUGGAGGUACUUGGACCCAUGUCCUGUCCACACCGCUCUGUUACUGAGAUGCAAUGGGACUAGCGGGCUCGUGCUUCUGCUGUCAUUUGUGCCAGAGGUUAGACCCUUACACCUUUUCACUCCUUCUUCAGCCUCGCUGGCAUUAACACUCAUCAUUUUACCCCCAAACUCUAAACACAUGUUCGUUUUUAAAUUAUUUAUUAAACCAGGCUCCCAAAUACUGCUAUGUAGUCAUUGUCACUGAUUUUGCUACAGUGGAUUUACAGUAUAUCAACUACCAUUUUAAAUACCAUUCUUGAUUUCUACAUUUGAAGCCGAGAAGACAGACUCUUGAGGGAAAGGACACAAUUUCAUUCAUUUAUAAUAAAUAACCUCAUCUUGCAAUCCCACUGCUUAGUCAGUCAUCUUGGUGACCCAUUCUUUGCAACAAGUUUUGCAAAUGCCCUUUUUUUCAUUCUCAGAUGCCUUUGGCAACCUGGUCAACAUCUGAAGGUACCAGAUGAUAUUACCUUCAACUUAUCAUCACCAAGCCUAACAGCCCAUAAACAUCAGCAUCAACUUUCUUCUGCUUCUGAACUACUGUGUCAAAAACAGCAUUCCUUCUCUUAAAGCCAGUAUUUAUUCGUUUUUAGGUCACCCUUCCUCCCUUCCUGAGGAAGCGUAAAUGCAUGUUUUCUUGAUUCUAAAUUCUCAGUCACUCCCUUUCAUCAGUGUCUUCUCCUUGAUAUAUAAACCAUACAUUUUUCUAGUUCUUAGCUAGUUGUAGUUAUUUAUUAUUAUUGGCUAUUGAGCAACAGCAUGCCUUUUCAACAGUACUAACUUGAAAGUACAUUAAAAUGUUAAAAAUCCAUGUGAUUUUUAUUCAGACAAAAGCAACCUAGCAUCUCAGUUAAUUGAUAUUCUAUAAGCUUAUCAUGGGGUUAGACAUCUGGUAUACCCACAACCAGACUGGAUUUGACUAAAAUAGAAUCCUAGACCUGAUUAAAGUAUCUUCAUCUUAAUUAUUAAGUUCUUUUCCCAAUCCCAUAAACAAAAUAUCUUAACGAACUGAACUAAGCGAAGGAUCUUUUCCAAAAUGUCAUCUUAAUUUAGAAUUUUUAAAUAAGGCUCUAUGAGAAUAAUAAUUUCCGAAUUUCCAUAGCACAAUAUAAACAUCCAGCUUCUUCUGAUGAUGCUAAGUAUUUAAAUCAUUUAAAAACAUUUUUACAAAGAUGAAAACCAGGAGUAAUCUAUUUUUGAUCACUGAGACAAAACAUGCAUUACCUGUCUUAGGGUUUCUACUGCUGUGAUUUAAAACACGAGAUGAAAAGCAAUUUGGAGGGGAAAUGGUUUACUUCAUCUGAUAGCUUAUAGUCUGUAAUCAAGGCGAGUUGGGACCAAAACUCUCCAAGCUGAAACCUGAAGACAGAGACUGAUGCUGAGGCCAUACAGGAAUAUGCUGCUUACUGGCUCGCUCAGGAUGCUUUCUUAUACAGCCCAGUGCCACCUGCCCAUAGAUGGCACUACUGACAGUGGUCAAGAAAAUGGCCCAUAAGCUUGCCUACAGGUCAGUCUCAUGGAGUUUUCAAUGGAGGUUCAAGUUGACAUAGGUGAACCUAGCUUUUGUCAAGUUGACAUGAAAACUAGCCCAUACAUUACUCAAAUGUUUAUCCUUCCUAAACAUGAACAAUCCUUCGUCAAGUUAGGGUCCUGUCAACAAGCCUCUCUCUCACUUACAGCACAAAUAUUUUAUAUAAAUCAAUGAGACAAUGAAUGCAAAUGUGCUUUCAAAAUGAUGAAGCAGAAACAAAGCAGUCACUUUUAUUGUUUGUCCUUAAUGACAAAUAGAUCAAAACCUAUUAACAUUAAUAUACCUUUACUACAGUGUGAAUUCUUUCCAAUACAUUUGCUCAUCGGGCUAAAAUCAGAAAUCAAGAACAAUUUCCUGGGUAUUUGUUGUACAGUGGCUAAUCUAUGUUUAGACAAACCCCUAAAGUAAGAAUCAACAAGCUUAUGAGCUUGUCACGGAGCUUGGGUUAAUCCCCAUGUAUUGGUAAGAACAUAGUGAAUUACUGAUGGCUACAACACCUUAGGGCUCAUGUAAAAGGAAGAGACAUUUUAUGGGUCCACAGGAGUAGCACACCAGAGGAAGGCAAGCUGUGAUCAGUGUAUACAUCAUAUUCCCCUUCUAAAUAAAGACUUUCUUCCCCUUGUGUUUUGAUUUAGGUUUAUCCUGGAAAUUAAAUUGGCCAAUACGGAUAGUAAAUAUCAUAUUCAUGAAUUUCCAAGCCAGGGUUUUAAGAGAAGUCUGUCUCUAAUGCUCUCUUGUUAGAAUGUUCAUGCUGUGUUACUUCUUUGAACCCAAGCAUCAUAACAUAUGAAGAAACUCAGCCAUUAGGAAGGAAGAACUCCAAGCCAGAUGCAAGCCUUACACGGAACUGAGACGCGACAGUUGGGUUCCCAGCUGAGAGCUACCAUCAACUGUCAACCAGGUGGAAGAACUAUGUUUAAAGCCUUAUCUGGCCCUAAUAUAACAGACGUUCCAGCAACCAUCACAUAAAGAACGAAAGUGACUUUAGUCCAUCCCGAGAACUGUAAGAAAAACCAUUACUGAUGUAAGUGGAGAUGCUGUGUUAGCAAUAGGAAACAAAAGUUGUGUAUUACUGCAUAGAAAGCAAAGCAUUGCAGUGCCAUUUUCAAUGGAUUUAUGACACAUUGCGUCAUUCUUCCACCAUCGUCCUUUAUUUUUGUACCAUAAGAAGAAUUUCACUAAGUUAAAAAAAAAAAAAAGGGAGGGGCUUUGCAAAUCUAAAGGGACAGAGGAAGCUCCAUGAACACAGCUGAUCAGAACGAUUCGAAGGCAGACAGAUUCCUGAGUUCCAGGUCAGCCUGGGAUGCAGCAAGUUAGGGCCCAAGAGUGAUAGAAGUGGUAAUUUCAGGACAGGGUCCCAUCCAGCUGGUUUAUCAUCUGUGUUUAACAGAGGCAAGGAAGACCUCUGAAUUCUUUUGCAAUGUUAAAAAACAAAAAUAAACAUGCUUGCUGUCCCCUAAGAA